CAAGUUCACAUUUUCCUUGGUACCUCUUCUUCUCCCUCAUUCUUGGGGAACUCAGCACCCAUGGGAGGGGUCUAACAUUCUGACAUCAAGGGUCUUAAGCUACCAACUCUUAAAGAUUUCCUAUGCAACUACCAACAUUAUUUGGCAGCAUGGUGAGGAAAUCAGAACAACUUUUCUAAACAUGAACUUUAGAAUGAGGAUUUCUAUGCUCCAGACUCCUUCACCUUGUGGCCUCCUAUAGUACCUGCUGGGCCAAUCUUCAGUCUUGGGUUCCUGCCUCACAUCAAGACGAUGCUCAUAACUUUGGUUGUCCCAAGUAACUCUGUGUUUCUUUAAGAAAAAUCGUGGAUGUCUUGGUGGUUCAGUUGGCUAAGCAUCUGUCUUCAGCUCAGAGAAAUAACUUGCAGGAUGUUCAUCCGAAGGUUAAAAGUGGCUAUUUUGGAGUAGUGGGAAUUUUUGUGAUUUUCUGUCCAGCGCAAAGUUCAGAGAAGAGGAAAGAAAGGAAGGAACGCAGACAAGCCUGCCGGCGGUGGGGAAUUAACAAGGAUUCCUGUGAAAGGACAUGCCACGACCUAAGUCACGCUAUAGGAACACAGCAGUUUCAGGCAGCGUUUUAGAAAGGAAUACAUGGUUUCUAAAUGCAAUUCAUCUUUUCUGCGUACAAAAUCGUCUCUCAAGCAUUUAACACUUCAAUUGACACAGAAUGAGAAAAAUGGAAUCAUUUUGGAAGCCCAAGAAAGAAAACUAUCCCGUAUUUGCUAAUUUGCAGCAUUCUCAGAGACUUUAUACACAAAUAAUGAGAAUCAACUGGGAUCUUAGACUUUAGAAGAAGAAGAAAGAGCAACUGGUCCUCAAUGGAUUGGGUGAUGCCCACCCACAAAGGAGGAAGCAAUCUAUUGAUUCUACUAAUCCUAAUAUGAAUGUCAUCCAGAAACACUUCACAGACAUCCUUGGAAAUGUUUAGAGGCACCUGGGUGGCUCAGUCGGUUGAAAAUCUGCCUUCAGCUCAGGUUAUGAUCCCAGGGUCCUGGGAUUGAGCCUAGCAUCAUGCUCCCUGGACACUGGUGGGCAGAAAUGAAGAAGCCCAGGGGUCCCAGAAGCUGGCUGGGAUCCCUUGUGUAGAUCCUUAAAGACCAGCAUGUCUGAUGGCCCAAGUUUGGGUUUUGUUUUUCUGACACAAAGCAGAGAAGAACAUUGAUUCCAGGUCCUGAUCUCAGGGUUGCGAGAUCGAGCGCUGCAUCAGGCUCCCCCACCUCAGCAAGGAAUUUGCUCAAGAUUCUCUCUCUCCCUCUUCCAUCCCCCACCCUCUCCGUCUUUCUCUCAAAUAAAUAAAUAAAUAAAUAAAUACAUGUUUAUAAAAAGCUCUUAUUUAAUCAACAACUAUUUUUGAGCAUCUGUUAUGGGCUAGGUCUUGUGCUAUUGUAAAGAAUACAAGGAUAAAUAAACAUACAGUCUUGUCUGCAGAGA